GGGAGGCAGCAGUGGGGAAUCUUCCGCAAUGGACGAAAGUCUGACGGAGCAACGCCGCGUGAGUGAAGAAGGUCUUCGGAUUGUAAAGCUCUGUUAUACGGGACGAAAAAGACGGAUGCCAACAGUAUCCGUCCGUGACGGUACCGUAAGAGAAAGCCACGGCUAACUACGUGCCAGCAGCCGCGGUAAUACGUAGGUGGCAAGCGUUGUCCGGAAUUAUUGGGCGUAAAGGGCGCGCAGGCGGUUCGGUAAGUCUGUCUUAAAAGUGCGGGGCUUAACCCCGUGAGGGGACGGAAACUGUCGAACUUGAGUGUCGGAGAGGAAAGCGGAAUUCCUAGUGUAGCGGUGAAAUGCGUAGAUAUUAGGAGGAACACCGGUGGCGAAAGCGGCUUUCUGGACGACAACUGACGCUGAGGCGCGAAAGCGUGGGGAGCAAACAGGAUUAGAUACCCUGGUAGUCCACGCCGUAAACGAUGGAUACUAGGUGUAGGAGGUAUCGACCCCUUCUGUGCCGUAGUUAACGCUAUAAGUAUCCCGC
rnacentral:rRNA from 1 species